rnacentral:rRNA from 1 species
UACGGAGGGUGCAAGCGUUGCUCGGAAUUAUUGGGCGUAAAGGGUAGGUAGGUGGUCUCAUUUGUCUGGGGUGAAAGCCUUGAGCUUAACUCAAGAAGUGCCCCAGAAACGGUGAGACUAGAGUCCUGGAGAGGGUCGUGGAAUUCCCGGUGUAGCGGUGAAAUGCGUAGAGAUCGGGAGGAACACCAGUGGCGAAGGCGGCUUCUGGUCUGUAACUGACGCUGAGGCGCGAAAGCGUGGGGAGCAAACGGG